rnacentral:snRNA from 1 species
GGAUAAUCAGGAACAGGGGCAAUGGCCACUAUCAUUUGAGGGUCCAGGGUUGAUUUGGCUGAUGUGGCUGACUAGGUUGGAGUCUCCUUUCUCCUUCAGUGGUCCGUGCACUUCCUUCCUGAAGCUGAAUGUUAGGCUGAAGAGGUUGACCUUCCCCUGUAAGGAAGACCAGUCUUUGGUGAAGGGUCUAUGAGUAGCUGUGUUCACCUGCUACAACCUCCAAAGAAGCUUUUAUUGUCAUUUGCUUCUUAUAUUUUCCACAAAGCAUCUGUCCUUUUCUUUUUGAAAAUAUGGUCCUCAUUUUUGUGAUGAUUCCCUUAAUU